rnacentral:rRNA from 1 species
GAUGAACGCUGGCGGCGUGCCUAUUACAUGCAAGUCGAGCGAAGCGGGGCCGGGUGAGUAACACGUGGAUAACCUCCUCUAAGACUGGGCUAACUUCGGGAAACCGGAGCUAUACCGGAUACUUAUACAUGGAUCCGCUCUGCCUUAGCGAGUUGGUAAGGUAACGGCUUACCAAGGCCACGAUGCAUAGCCGACCUGAGAGGGUGAUCAGCCACACUGGAACUGAGACACGGUCCAGACUCCUACGGGAGGCAGCAGUAGGGAAUCUUCCGCAAUGGGCGAAAGCCUGACGGAGCAACGCCGCGUGAGUGAUGAAGGUCUUCGGAGCGUAAAACUCUGUUAUUAGGGAAGCGGUACCUAAUCAGAAAGCCACGGCUAACUACGUGCCAGCCGCCGCGGUAAUUC